UACGUAGGGUGCAAGCGUUAAUCGGAAUUACUGGGCGUAAAGCGUGCGCAGGCGGUGUUGCACGACAGCUGUGAAAUCCCCGGGCUCAACCUGGGAACUGCAUUUGUGACUGCAACGCUGGAGUGCGGCAGAGGGGGAUGGAAUUCCGCGUGUAGCAGUGAAAUGCGUAGAUAUGCGGAGGAACACCGAUGGCGAAGGCAAUCCCCUGGGCCUGCACUGACGCUCAUGCACGAAAGCGUGGGGAGCAAACAGG
rnacentral:rRNA from 1 species